rnacentral:rRNA from 1 species
UACAGAGGGUGCAAGCGUUAAUCGGAAUUACUGGCGUAAAGCGCGCGUAGGUGGUUUGUUAAGUUGGAUGUGAAAUCCCCCGGGCUCAACCUGGGAACUGCAUUCAAAACUGACAAGCUAGAGUAUGGUAGAGGGUGGUGGAAUUUCCUGUGUAGCGGUGAAAUGCGUAGAUAUCGGGAGGAACACCAGUGGCGAAGGCGGCUCACUGGCCCGGUACUGACGCUGAGGUGCGAAAGCGUGGGGAGCAAACAGG